ensembl:lncRNA
UGGCUGGCUGGCGGGCGGUUGGUGGAGGUGUUGGCUGGCUGGCUGGCGGGCAGUUGGUGGAGGUGUUGGCUGGCUGGCGGGCGGUUGGUGGAGGUGUUGGCUGGCUGGCUGGCGGGCAGUUGGUGGAGGUGUUGGCUGGCUGGCUGGCGGGCAGUUGGUGGAGGUGUUGGCUGGCUGGCUGGCGGGCGGUUGGUGGAGGUGUUGGCUGGCUGGCUGGCGGGCAGUUGGUGGAGGUGUUGGCUGGCUGGCUGGCGGGCGGUUGGUGGAGGUGUUGGCUGGCUGGCGGGCAGUUGGUGGAGGUGUUGGCUGGCUGGCUGGCGGGCGGUUGGUGGAGGUGUUGGCUGGCUGGCG